GAUUCUGCCCUACGGGGAAGGAUGAGAAGCUUCGACUAAGGUUCGACUCGAGCGUAGCGAGAGAACGUUGCCGCAGGCAACGGCCCGAAGGGCGAGGCGC
rnacentral:sRNA from 1 species